rnacentral:rRNA from 1 species
UACGGAGGGUGCAAGCGUUAAUCGGAAUUACUGGGCGUAAAGCGCACGUAGGCGGCUUUGUAAGUUAGGGGUGAAAGCCCGGAGCUCAACUCCGGAAUUGCCUUUAAGACUGCAUCGCUUGAAUCCGGGAGAGGUGAGUGGAAUUCCGAGUGUAGAGGUGAAAUUCGUAGAUAUUCGGAAGAACACCAGUGGCGAAAGGCGGCUCACUGGACCGGUAUUGACGCUGAGGUGCGAAAGCGUGGGGAGCAAACAGG